rnacentral:lncRNA from 1 species
GGACAAGACAGCAAAGUGCAUUCCCUGAGAGGGUCCCAGCUGAUGGCCUCUAGCACAAUCAGAUCACUAGUAGGGCCUAGAGAUAUCCCAGAGUUCCCAGCUGCCCACUGCUAGAUCCAAGAGCUCAGGCAUGAUGUUCCUGUUAGCAAGGAAUGAUAUCAGAGCCCUCUUGAGACUAAGUUCCCAGGCACAGUUUGGGAGACAGAAUAAGCUGAGGGCCAUUUCCUCAGCUCAGUGAUUACACCAGAUAAGAGAGUACAACAUGGGAUUUUUUGUUCCAUUUGGCAACACCGCAGCAGAAUGUGUCCAGGCAACUUCGAUACUCUUAAGAAACUACAGACCACAAUGAAUGGAGCUAAAUUAGCUUUACACUUAGGCUGUUUUGGACGUGAAAGCAGCCUUUAGUUUACACUUCAAGCUUUAUUUAACACACUUCUAUUUCAGUGUGUCUGACUUCAGGUAGAGAGGUAAUCCUUCUGUAGUCUUGGGACUUCAAUAAAAACAUCUGUUUAUCUGCUUUGUUGGCA